rnacentral:rRNA from 1 species
CACGUAGUUAGCCGUGGCUUCCUCCUUGGCUACCGUCAUUAUCGUCACCAAGGACAGAGGUUUACAAUCCGAAAACCUUCUUCCCUCACGCGGCGUCGCUGGGUCAGGGUUUCCCCCAUUGCCCAAUAUUCCCCACUGCUGCCUCCCGUAGGAGUCUGGGCCGUGUCUCAGUCCCAAUGUGGCCGUUCAAUCUCCCAGUCCGGCUACCAAUCGUCGGCAUGGUGGGCCUCUACCCCGGCCAUCUACCUAAUUGGACGCGAGCCCAUCUCUCAGCGGAUUGCUCCUUUGAUUGCAAAACCAUGCGGCUCUGCAAUGUUAUGCGGUAUUAGCGAUCGUUUCCAAUCGUUAUCCCCCGUCUGAAAGGCAGGUUGCUCACGCGUUACUCACCCGUCGCCACUCGAAUAUGCCUUCCUCGGCCGAAGCCUUGUCCAGCAUAUCCCCGUUCGACUUGCAUGUGUUAGGCGCGCCGCCAGCGUGUCGUCGUAGCCACGGAGUCAACGUACUCUAC